rnacentral:lncRNA from 1 species
CGUAUAUUUUUUUUAUUGCUACGUGGCAAACAAGUUACCAGUAGGUUCAGUAGAUUCUCAGAAAACAAAUGAGACCCAGCAUUCAUGAUAUGCACGCUCUUAAGGCUGUGCAAUUGGGCAAUUAGUUGAAUUAGUUGAAAGGGGUGUGUUCAAAAAAAUAGCAGUGUGGCAUUUAAUCACUGAGGUCAUCAAUUUUGUGAAGAAACAGGUGUGAAUCAGGUGGCCCCUAUUUAAGGAUGAAGCCAACACUUGUUGAACAUGCAUUUGAAAGCUGAGGAAAAUGGGUCGUUCAAGACAUUGUUCAGAAGAACAGCGUACUUUGAUUAAAAAGUGGAUUAGAGAGGGGAAAACCUAUAAAGAGGUGCAAAAAAUGAUAGGCUGUUCAGCUAAAAUGAUCUCCAAUGCCUUAAAAUGGAGAGCAAAACCAGAGGGACUUUGCGGGGGAUUCUUGAAAAUAGAUUAGCUUCACACAGACGUCUUCUAACUGUCACAGUACUUACAGGUAACUCCAGACUGUCUUUGAUCAUCCUGGAGCUGAUCAUUGGCUGAGCCUUUGCCAUUCUGGUUAUUCUUCUAUCCAUUUUGAUGGUUGUCUUCCGUUUUCUUCCACGUCUCUCUGGUUUUGCUCUCCAUUUUAAGGCAUUGGAGAUCAUUUUAGCUGAACAGCCUAUCAUUUUUGCACCUCUUUAUAGGUUUUCCCCUCUCUAAUCAACUUUUUAAUCAAAGUACGCUGUUCUUCUGAACAAUGUCUUGAACGACCCAUUUUCCUCAGCUUUCAAAUGCAUGUUCAACAAGUGUUGGCUUCAUCCUUAAAUAGGGGCCACCUGAUUCACACCUGUUUCUUCACAAAAUUGAUGACCUCAGUGAUUGAAUGCCACACUGCUAUUUUUUUGAACACACCCCUUUCAACUAAUUCAACUAAUUGCCCAAUUGCACAGCCUUAAGAGCGUGCAUAUCAUGAAUGCUGGGUCUCAUUUGUUUUCUGAGAAUCUACUGAACCUACUGGUAACUUGUUUGCCACGUAGCAAUAAAAAAAUAUACGAAAAACCUUGAUUAUUCUGGUUAGUCACAUUGUACUGCUAUUAUUUUGAACAAUACUAGCAGUACAAUGUGACUAACCAGAAUAAUCAAGGUUUUUAGUAUAUUUAUUAUUGCUACGUGGCAAACAAGUUACCAGUAGGUUCAGUAGAUUCUCAGAAAACAAAUGAGACCCAGCAUUCAUGAUAUGCACGCUCUUAAGGCUGUGCAAUUGGGCAAUUAGUUGAAUUAGUUGAAUUAGCUGUGUCUCUAGGAACUUUCAAUGUCUUGGAAAUCUUCAUAUAGCCUUAGCCUUUCUAAAGCACUAUGAUAUUUAUUCUCUUUAGCUUUUGUGAGAUCUCUGUUGACAUUUUUGCUACUCAACUUCAACACAUGCAUUGACUAACUGUAUGUGUAACGGCUCAAGCUAAUUCUGUUUUUAAUAGAGUUUCUAAAAGCUUAAUUGUGUUUUAUCACUGUUUUAUUCUCCACCAUGCAAAUAAGUGAUUUAAAAACAGCAAUGUUGGACAAAGUUUCAAAAAUUAAGUUGUACGUUUGAAGGAGUAUUUCUGUUCCAAAAAUACUCCUUCCGGUUUGUCACAAGUUUCGGAAAGUUUUUUUUUCGAGUAUGGCUCUGUGUGACAUUAGAUGGAGCGGAAUUUCCUUAUAUGGGUCCUAAGGGCACUUCUGCCGGAAGAGCGCACGCUCCCGUAUAGCAGAGCACUGAGAGGCUGAGCACAGACAUUCACUUAUCAGAGCGAGAGCGUCACGAAAUGUCACAAAUGAAGUGUAUUUUUGGUUGCCAGGGCAAGACAACCCUGCACAGAUUACCAAAAAAAAAAAAAAAACAGCAUUAAGGGACCAGUGGAUGGAGUUUAUUUUUACAGAGCAUCAACGGAGUUUGUUCCCUGCAUUUCGAAGAUGCUUGUUUCACAAACAAGGCCCAGUUUGACGACGGAUUUGCGUAUCGUUUAUUUCUUAAGGAUGAUGCAAUCCCAACGAAAAAGGGUCACGAUCGUGUGUUGGAAUCGCAGGCGGUGAGUAAAACUGCUUAAAAUAUCUCUGCCUCUUUGUUAGUGCGUCCACCUCCCAUGGCGGAGACCCGGGUUCGAGCCCUGCUCGGAGCGAGUCAUUGCUGCUGCUGCUCUCGUUCAGUUUCAGCCUCGGGAUCUGAUUCUGGAUCAUAAAUAAACGGCUGAAUUGCCAUGGUUUGUUUUGGAUGUUUUUUUUUCCUCACGGCAAUGUCACAGCUUCCAAACGCUCUCAACGCAAAAGCCUACUUGCGCUCGUGAUUCUUUAGCUCCGCCCACACGUCACGCCUCCAGCCGGUCGUGUUUUUCCGGGGAAAAUCGGUACAGACUAUCUUUCUCUUAUGAAUAUAAUAAAACUAAAGACUUUUUGGAGUUAUGAAGGAUGCAGUACUACUCUAUAGGUACUCAAGAUUAACAGGAUAUUGAGUGAAAAUGAGCAUUUUACCCCCCCUUUAAUAUAGCGCUUUAAACAAAAUGCAUUAAGUCAAAGCAACUGAACAACAUUCAUUUGGAAAACAGUGUGUCAAUCAUGCAAAAUGACAGAUAAAGGCAGUUCAUCAUUGAAUUCAGUGAUCUCAUCUCUGUUCAGUUUAAAUAGCGUCUGUGCAUUCAUUUGCAAUCAAGUCUACGAUAUCGCUGUAGAUGAAGUGACUCCAACUAAGCAAGCCAGAGGCGACAGUGGCAACUGGAACUAAAACUCCAUCGGUGACAGAAUGGAGAAAAAAAAAAACAUGGGAGAAACCAGGCUCAGUUUGGGGUCAGUUCUCCUCUGACCAGACAAAACCAGCAGUUCAAUUCCAGGCUGCAGCAAAGUCAGAUUGUGCAGAAGAAUCAUCUGUUUCCUGUGGUCUUGUCCUAGUGGUCAUCUGAGACAAGGUCUUUACAGGGGAUAUGUACUGGGGCUCUAGUUGUCCUGGUCUCCGCUGUCUUUCAGGGCUGUAGAGGUCCUUUCUAGGUGCCGAUCCACCAUCUGGUCUGGAUACGUAUUGGAUCAGGGUGACUGCAGUGACCCUCUGAUCUGGAUACAGACUGGAUCUGGUGACUAGGGUGACCCUGGAAUAAGAGAGAAACCGAAUAAUAUUAGCGUAGAUGUCAUUCUUCUAAUGAUGUAGCAAGUAUGGGAAUAUGGGAAGUGUUCCCGGUUCCGGUUUACCUAAUUAAUGCAGCCUAAAUAUCCUUUGGAUUUGGAUAUUAGAAGCAUAUUAGUAUGUUAUGUGUAUUAGGGUAUUAUCAAAAUGUGUUAUGUAGGGUACUAUCAAAUUGCCUGAGUUUUGAGAACGCAGCGGACGUGGAGGAUUAUAAUGUAACAGGAGCUCAUUCAAAUACUGAGGUGCUAAGCCAUUCAGGGCUUUUUAAAUAAUAAGCAAUAUUUUAAAAUCUAUACGAUAUUUGAUAGUGAGCCAGUGCAGUGUUGACAGGACCGGUCUAAUAUGUUCAUACUUCCUGGUUCUUGUAAGAACUCUUGCUGCUGCAUUUUGAACUAGCUGUAGUUUGUUUACUAAGCAUGCAGAACAACCACCCAAUAAAGCAUUACAAUAAUCUAACUUUGAUAAUCUACUAUAAUUUAAUACAUUUCUGCAUUUGACAUUGAGAGCACAGUUUAGAUAUAUUUUUGAGGUGGAAAAAUGCAGUUUUACAAAUGCUAGAAACGUGGCUUUUCUACGGAAUGAUUGCUAUUAAAUAGCACACCUAGGUUCCUAACUGAUGACGAAGAAUUGACAGAGCAGACAUCAAGUCUUAGACAGUGUUCUAUGUUACUACAUGCAGAGUUUUUAGGUCCUAUAAUUAACACCUCUGUUUUUUCAGAAUUUAGCAGUAAGAAAUUACUCGUCAUCCAGUUUCUUAUAUCGACAAUGCUUUCCAUUAAUUUUUCAAAUUGGUGUGUUUCACCGGGCCAUCAUCAGCAUGACAGUGAAAGCUAACACCAUGUUU